UACAGAGGUCUCAAGCGUUGUUCGGAUUCAUUGGGCGUAAAGGGCGCGUAGGCGGUGGGGUAAGUCUGGUGUGAAAUCUCGGAGCUCAACUUCGAAAUUGCACUGGAUACUGCUCUGCUAGAGGGCUGGAGAGGAGAUCGGAAUUCACGGUGUAGCAGUGAAAUGCGUAGAGAUGUGGAGGAAUACCGAUGGCGAAGGCAGCCCCCUGGGUCAAUACUGACGCUCAUGCACGAAAGCGUGGGGAGCAAACAGG
rnacentral:rRNA from 1 species